UACAGAGGGUGCAAGCGUUGUUCGGAAUUACUGGGCGUAAAGCGCGCGUAGGCGGUGAUCUUUGUCAGAGGUGAAAGCCCGGGGCUCAACUCCGGAAUUGCCUUUGAAACGGGAUCGCUUGAGUCCGAGAGAGGAUGGCGGAAUUCCUAGUGUAGAGGUGAAAUUCGUAGAUAUUAGGAAGAACACCGGUGGCGAAGGCGGCCAUCUGGCUCGGUACUGACGCUCAGGCGCGAAAGCGUGGGGAGCAAACGGG
rnacentral:rRNA from 1 species